rnacentral:tRNA from 1 species
UCGUGCAAAUCGAUUUACUUUG